rnacentral:tRNA from 1 species
UGGGCCUUAGCUCAGCUGGGAGAGCACCUGCUUUGCAAGCAGGGGGUCGUCGGUUCGAUCCCGACAGGCUCCACCA